ACAUGCCUACAUCACAACGUUAAUGUACUGGAUCCCAUUAGAACUCCACAGUUAAGCACGCUCAUGAUAGAAUAGUAUUGUGACGGGUGACCGCCCGAGAAGUCCUAGUGUUUUACAUGCC
rnacentral:rRNA from 1 species